UCCCCCGUGAGGGGGCAGUCUCGCCUGAUACGUGUAACAGGCAACGAGGGUUGCGUUCGUUACCCCACUGAAGGGAACGAUUCAAACCACGAACUGACGACAGCCAUGCAUCACCUGUCCUACACCCUCGAAGGCUUCCUAUCUUUCGAUAGGCGUGCAGUAGGAUUUCUAGCCCUGGUAAGGUUCUUCGCUUAGCGACGAAUUAAGCCACACGCUCCACCGCUUGUGCAAGCCCCCGUCUAUUCCUUUGAGUUUUAGCCUUGCGGCCGUACUACCCAGGCGGAUAACUUAACGCGUUAGCUUCGCCUCACAGAGGGUCGAUACUCCGUAAAGCCAGUUAUCAUCGUUUAGGGCGUGGACUAC
rnacentral:misc_RNA from 1 species